CUGAAUUGAUCCAAGGAUCACCUUGAACUUGGCUUUUGAAGGGUUUGUUACCACUACAGUUCACUUCCCUGAUUGCAUGGGUAACAGAAGCACCCAGGAAGAGCACAGAUUGGCAGGGGUCCAGAGGAUGUUGGAGCAGAGGGAGACUCGGGUUCUUGUAAGAGGGCAUCUUCGGGAAUGUUCAGAGGAAGAAGUGUUAGUGUCAUUUCUGUCCUUUGGUGGUAUAGCAGUCACAUGUCACUUUUCCAUGCUUUGGAGGACUGAUGCAGAUCCAUGACCAUAAGAUUUCUUCACUGCUUUUUUUUUCCCACCAUGGGAGGACUCUGACUUCAGUUCUUCUCAACAGCUGUUUUCAUUUUUUCAUCCCUGAAUUGUGUGUAAACAACCUCCGAUAGUAGAUAAAGGCUUUAUCAGCUCAGCAGCUCACCUCCUACAUACAGCCUCUUCUUCAUGAAUACAAGCCUGUGUUAGGAGUAAGUUGGACUUGAUUUUGUCUGCUGGUUGUUAUCUUGGACUUAAUUGGGAGGAAUCUUGCGUUCAGAAUGUGGGCUCCCAGCUCUCUCUAGUGUUCCUCGGCCGCCAUCUGCUGGGUAAUCCUGGCAUGACAUAGUCCCCUCGGCUGGCGGGCUAAGGAAUGGAGUGUCUUGCAUUCAAUAACAAAAUAUACAGCAGGAACUGUGUACCAGGCAUAGUUCCAGGCACUUGGGAUACAUUAGUGAACAAACAGACAAAGAUCUUUUCUUUUUAGCACUGAAAAUAUUCAACUAUCUGGAAUAUUGGGUGGAUUUUUGUUGUUCAGUCACAAAGUCAUGUCUGGAAUGUUAUUUAUUCACUUACCUACUGAAGUGUAUCAUGGUUGUUUCCAAGUUUUAGCAAUCAUGAAUAAAACUGCUAUAAAUAUUUCUGGGCAAGUCCUUCUGUGUACAUUGUCAGUGUUUUGGAUUUGGGCCAUUUCUAUAGGUAUGUAGUAGCAUCUCAUUGUUUUAAUUUGCAUUUCUGAGGUAGUAUAUGAUGUGAAAUGUGGUCUCAUACAUUUUUUGCCAUUUGUAUGUCUUCUUUGCUGAGAUCUGUUCAGAUCUUUUGCCAAUUUUUAAAUCAGAUUGGUUGUUUUCUUAUUGUUGAGUGUUAAAGAGUUCUUUGUAUAUUUAAGAUAAUAGUCUUUUAUCAAAUGCGUUUUUUGCAAAUAUUUUCUCCUCCUUCUCUUGACACUACCUUAUCAAGCAGAAGCUUUUAAUUUCAAUGAAGUCAAGCUUAUCAAUUACUUCUUCAUGGAUGGUGCCUUUGGUGUUGUAUUUUAAAAAGUCAUUUGCCACAUCCAAGGUCACCUGGGUUUUCUCCUAUGUUGAUUUGCUUUUUUUCUAGUUUUAUAGUAUAGAAGCUUAAACGAUUGAUUUUUUAUAUUUCUUCUUUUCUAAUACAUAUAUUCAGUGUUACAAAUUUCCCUCUAAGCACUCUUUUCACUGCAUCCCACAAAUUUUGAUAAAUUGCAUUUUCAUUUCAUUAAAAUAUAUUUUAAAAUUUCUCUUAAGAUUUCUUAUUUGACUCGUGUUAUUUACAAGUGUAUUGUUUAACUUCCAAGUGUUUGGGGAUUUUCUGGCUUUCUGUCUGUUGUUAAUUUCUAGUUUAACUCCACUGUUGUCUGAAAGCUGAUGUUGCAUGAUUUCCUUUUCCUUUAAAUUUGUUAAAGUGUGUUUUAUGUCCCAGGAUGUGGUCUAUCGUGGUGAAUGCUCCAUGUGAGCUUGAGAAAAAUGUAUAUUCUGCUGUUGCUGGAUGAACUUGCUUAUAAAUGUCAGUUAUAUGAGGUUGACCAAAGGUACUGUUGACUUCAACUAUGUCCUUACUGAUUUUCUGCCUGCUGGAUCUAUUUUUGAUAGAGGUGUUAGAGUCUCCAUUAUAUUAUUGGACUUUUCUUUUUCUCCUUAUAGUUCUGUUUUUGCUUCAUGUAUUUUGAUGCUCUGUUAUUAGACACACCCACAUUAAGAAUUGUUAUAUAUUCUUAAAAUGUUGAUGCUUUUAUCAUUAUGUAAUGCUUGUCUUUAUUCCUGAUAACUUUCCUUACUCUGAAGCCUAGUCUGUCUGAAAUUAACAUAGGUAUUCCUCUUUUCCUUUAAUUGAUGUUAGCCCAGUAUAUUUUUCUCCAUCCUUUUAUGUUUAAUCCAUAAAAGUGAGUUUCUUGCAAACAGCAUAUAGUUCAGCCCUUUUUUAAAUCCAUUCUGACAAUCUAUUUUAGCUUGAAUAUUUAGAUCAUUGACAUGUAAAGAGAUUAUUGGUAUAACUGAAUUAAUAUAUACCACAUAUGUAGGGAUUGCUGCUGGCUCAGUGGCAAAGAAUCCACCUGCCAAUGCAGGAGACGCAUGAUUCAGUUCAGUCCCUGGGUGAGGAAGGUCCCUUGCAGAAGGAAAUGGCAACCCACUCCAGUGUUCUUACUUGGAAAAUCCUAUGGACGGAGGAGCUUGGUGGGCUAUAGUCCAUGGGGUCGCAAAAGAGUGGAACCCGACUUAAUGACUGAACAGCAACAAAUACCAUGUAUGUGACUAUUUUCUGUUUGAUGUCCUUGUUCUUUGUUUCUGUCUUCACAAUUUUUCUCCCUUUUGUGACUUUAGUUGAAUAUUUUAUGUAAUUUCUCUUUCACCUUUCUUAAUGUUUCAAUUAUACUUCUUUUUUUUAAAAAAAUCAUUUUAAUGGUUGCCCUUGAAUUUGCAGUAUAGAUUUACAACUACUUCAAGUCCUCUACUUUCAAACACCAUUUUACAGGUAGUGCAAGUACCUUAUAAUAACAACAAAAAUGACAUAUAAUAACAAAAACAACAAAGAAAGUCUCGACUCUUCCCUCUCAUUCCUUAUAUCAUUAAUAUCAUUCAAUUUGCUUAUAUGUAAGCACACAUGAGUAUAUGUGUAUUAGAUUAUAUAUCCUUAUACAUAAUGUAAUACAUUGUAGCUAUUGUUUUGGACAAACUACAUUUAUAAGAUACAUUAAGAAUAACAAAAAUAGCUUUUUUAUUUUACUUUCCCUUAUUCUUUCUCCAGUGCUCUUCCUUUCUUCAUAUAGAUCUGAGUUUCUGAUCAAUAUAAUUUUUCUUCUCUCUGAAGAACUUUUGAUAUUUCUUGACAGUCAGGUCUACUGGUAACAAAUUCCGUCAAUUUUUGUUUAUCUGAGGAAAUUUUUAUUUCUCCCUCAGCUUUGAAGCAUACUUCCUAGAGUACAGGAUUCUAGAUUGAUUCAUGAAGUGAGAACAUAGAUUUUUGAUUUGAGAUGCUUCUUUUCUGAAGUGGUCAAAUCAGCCUCUAAAUUAUGAAAAAAACUGAAGAUGAGAGGCAGAACCACAAAAAGACCCUGUAGAAGGUCCUGGAGCUGAAAUGACCCCAGCACCCCAGGGAGACAGGUUCCUUCUGCCCUGGCUCCUGAUCAGGUUGAGACAACAUGGGGGACAGGGUGAGUGCUCAGCAGAAGACUGGAAGCAGGGAGGACACUGAAGCUGAAAUGGGGAUGCCUCUGACUGCCUUCUCACAGAAUCCAGUGGGUGUUCACCCAAGGAAAGGAGGAGCUAUGGAAGCUGACAGCUACCAAUAGGGCACCUGAAUUCAAUCCCUGGUCAGGGAAUUAGAUUCCCACAUGCCACAGCUAAGAGUUCAAAUGCUGCAGCUAAAGAUCCUGCAGGGUACAGGAAAGAUCGAAGGUCCCACCUGCUGCAGGGGAAGUGCUUUGUGACCAGUUGUUCUUGAAUAUUCUGGGAUGGACUCAAGUCUUGUUCCCAGAACCCUGACAUUCUGGUCUGUAUCUUUAAGCCAGGAGAAUCAAAGAGUGUUCUCUAAGGAAUCUCACUUGCCUGAGAGGAAAUAUCUAAUGAUAAUACAGCAUGAGCAAUUACCCAAAGGAUGGCUGAUUCAGAUCAUUCUAUAGACAUUUCAAAAUCUAGAAGCAGACUAACAUACACAAAGUUUCUAUCAGCUACCUGGCCCACCUCUCUUAAACAUAUGCAGACAACCAGGAUCACCUGACUCUUCUGAGAAAUAAACACUCACAUUUAUGGUCAACUGAUUUUUGAAAAGGGCACAGACAAUGGAGGAAAGGACAAAGUAUUUCCAACAGAUGAUUUGGGACAACUGGACAUGAAAAAGAAUGAAGCUGGACCCCUACCUCACACCAUACACAAAAGUCUACUCAAGGUGGAUUAUGUAGUAACUACAUGUAAGAGCUAAAACUAUAAUUCCUACAAUAAAAUAUAGGGGUAAGUCUUCAUACCCUUGGGUUAGGCAAUGAUUUCUUAAGUAAUGAUGCAAAAUACACAAGCAAACAAAAAAAACAGAUAAAUUUGACUUCAUCCAAAUUGAAAACUUUUAUACUUCAAUGGAUACUAUCAAGGAAGAAAGUCACUCAGCCGUGUCCAACUCUUUGCGAUCCCAUGGACUGUAUAGUCUCCAGGCCAGGAUACUGGAGUGGGUAGCUGUUCCCUUCUCUAGGGGAUCUUCCCAACCCAGGGACUGAACCCAGGUCUCCCGAAUUUCAGGCAGAUUCUUUACCAGCUGAGCCACAAGGCAAGCCCAAGAAUACUGGAGUGGGUAGCCUGUCCCUUCUCUAGCAGAUCUUCCCAACCCAGGAAUUGAACCAGCGUCUCCUGAAUUGCAGGCAGAUUCUUUACCGACUGAGCUAUGAAGAAAGCCCAAUCAUCAAGGAAAUGAAAAGACAACUCACAGAAUGGGAGAAAAUAUUUGCAAAUCAUAUAUCUGAGAAGGGACUUACAUCCAGAAAUACAAAGAACUCUUGUAAAUUAAUAAUAAAAGACAAGUACCCCAAUUUAAAAAUAGGCAAAGGAUUUGAAAAGACAUUUCUCCAAAGAUGAUCAUCAUUAGAUGUGAGGGAAAUGCACAUCAAAACCAUAAAGAGAUCCUACUCAUUAGAAUGGCUAAAAUCAAAACAAACAAUGGCAAGCAAGUGGAGAAAUUGGAACCCAUAUGCACUGCUGGUGGAAUGUUAAAUGGUGCAACUGCUUUGAAAAACAGCCUAGUAGUUUCUCAAAAGGCUAAACAUAGAGCUACCAUAAGAUCCAGCAACUGUAGUCAUAAGUAUAUAUCCAAGAGAAAUGGAAACAUAUGUCCACACAAGUACCUGUACACACUGUUUCAUAGCAACAUUAUUUAUCAUAGCCAAAAAAGCAGAGAAACCUAAAUGUCUAACAUCUGCUAAAUGCAUAAACAAAUUUAUAAUCAUACAAGGGACUAUUAUUUGGUCAUAAAAAAGAAUAAAAUACUCAUAAAUGCUAUAGAAUGGAUGAAUCUUAAAGGCAUUAUGCUAAGCACAAGUUGUUGUUGUCACUGAUUCACUUCCAACUCCUUGUGACUCCAUGGACUGCAACGGGCCAGGCUCCUCUGUCCUCCACUAUCUCCCAGAGUUUGCGCAAAUUCAUGUCCAUUGAGUCAGUGAUGUUAUCUAAUCAUCUCAUCUUCUGCCGCCCUCUUCUCCUUUUGCCUUCAAUCCUUCCCAGCAUCAGGGUCUUUUCCAAUGAGUCAGUUCUUCACAUCAGGUGGCCAAAGUGUAGCCAGUGACAAAAAAAAUCACAUAUUGUGUCAUUUCUUUUACAUGAAAUAUCCAGAUUAAGCAUACAGAUAGAAAUGAUUCAUUGUUGCCUGGAGUUGGAGUGAGAGGAAAUGAGGAGUGAUUGUUAAUGGGCAUGAGGUUCCUUCUUCAAAUGUUCUAAAAUUAGAUUAUGGUGAUGGCAUCACAACUCUUGAAUAAUUAAAACUCAUCAACUACACAGUUUAAAUGGAUGAAUCUUACAGUAUGUGAGAAAUAUUUCAACAAACCUAUUACAAAUCUCACUAAUCAUAAAGAUAUCAACAAAACAUAAAACAUAAAGAUACGUCAGUAUCUUCCUAGCACUACAGUAUGUUUCCCCAUCUUGUUACUCAAGACCCUCUUGGCACUUUCUCAACUUGUAAUAACCUUGUAAAGCCGGUUGGUCUUCAAAAGAUAAUGCAAGUCAAAGUUUCGUAAUUAGAGGGAAGAAGUACGUUCAGAGGUCAGGUUUUUACUCAAUAGGAAAGCGUAGGUCAGAAAAUAUUGGUUUACAACAUCUUAAAACUAACUUUUAACACAUGCUUAUUAAAUGUUUGCAUGGUGUUAAUAAGCUUUAUUUGUCUUUCUGAAGAAUCUGAGGAGUAAGAAGAAUAAAGAUGUUUAGCCAGGGGUCCCACUGAAUUUUUCUUCACUAUUGUUGAUUAUUUGGUUCUCUGGAAGCGAGAUGGUAGGGAGCAAAGAGCCAGUAUGUCAAGGUGGUCACCAAGUUGGAAUCCAGAUACAUGAACCUGGAUUCGUUUUCUUCCUUUGCCACUUAGUGGCUGUGUGACCUUCUGCAUGUUGCUUAGCCUCUCUGUGCUUCCAUUUCCUCUCUGUAAAAUAGGAAUUCUAUCUUGAUCCCAUGAACAGAGGAGCCUGGUGGACUACAGUCCAUGGGGUCAUAAAGAGUCAGACAUGACUGAAGCAACUUAGCACACACACAUCCUGAUCCAGUUUUUAUUUGAGGGCCUAGCCCAUUGCAGUUACCUUUGUUUUUAAAAAGCUUUUAAUAGGCAUUUAUGAGCAAUAUAUCUUGGUUACUUUGUCCUGAUUUAAAAAAUAGUGUUGGCAUUUUCUGCAAGUCAGUAUCUUAUUCCUGUUUCAUUAGUCCUGCUUUAUUUUGAUGUGUUUAUUAUUGAGUUACUUGUCCAAGUUCUUCCUUGAAAUUCUGCUAUCAAUCAGGAAAUAAAG